AACCCAGUAACUCCGAUCCCUUCCUUCACGCGGCGCCGGCCGGGGUGCGACCAUCCGAAAGGUAGAUUAAGCUUGAAGCUUAGGUCGUAUGUUGACAGGGAAGG
rnacentral:ribozyme from 1 species